ACGGGGCCCGCACAAGCGGCGGAGCAUGCGGAUUAAUUCGAUGCAACGCGAAGAACCUUACCAAGGCUUGACAUACACCGGUAACGCCCAGAGAUGGGUGCCCCUUUGUGGUCGGUGUACAGGUGGUGCAUGGUUGUCGUCAGCUCGUGUCGUGAGAUGUUGGGUUAAGUCCCGCAACGAGCGCAACCCUCGUCCUAUGUUGCCAGCGGGUCAUGCCGGGGACUCAUGGGAGACUGCCGGGGUCAACUCGGAGGAAGGUGGGGAUGACGUCAAAUCAUCAUGCCCCUUAUGUCUUGGGCUUCACGCAUGCUACAAUGGCCGGUACAAAGGGCUGCGAUACCGCGAGGUGGAGCGAAUCCCAGAAAGCCGGUCUCAGUUCGGAUUGGGGUCUGCAACUCGACCCCAUGAAGUCGGAGUCGCUAGUAAUCGCAGAUCAGCAACGCUGCGGUGAAUACGUUCCCGGGCCUU
rnacentral:rRNA from 1 species